GUGUUGCUUCGGUAGCACAUAUACUAAAAUUUGAACGAUACAGAGAAGAUUAGCAUAGC
rnacentral:snRNA from 1 species